UUAUCCCGGCUUCGCUGGGUUAUGUGUAAAAUGUGACACAGGUUAGACAUAUGCUGGGUCUUCUGUUACGGCAGAAAACAAUCUGUCAAAAUUCAUGGAUCAGGGCAACACUUGUUUCAAGGGGGAAAAAAAGCAUACUAGAAUAGCUGAACUUCAUUUGGGGUUAAUCAUGUGUUGACUCACAUUUAAAGCUGGGGGGAAAAAAAACAUUUUGUUGAAUAAAGUGGGAGGAAAAAGUGUGUGAACCCUUUGGUAUUUCUGACAUUUCUGCAUAAAAUGUAGUCGGGCCAUCUAAAUAAGAAUAUGUUACCAUUCCCAAGAUAGGGACGAAAAGGUAUAGACUUUGGGUUCUUUAAGAGCUAAUCAGAGUCAGGUGUGAACCUACCUGGAUUCUAAUUGAGACAAGAUUGGAGGUGUGGCUUAAAGCUCCUCUGGCCACUAGGAAACGCACGUUAGAAUUGUUUCCUGUCAAGAAGCAUUGCCUGAUGUGUACCGUGUCUCGCUCAAAAGAGCUGUUGGAAGACCUCCGCUUAAGAAUUGUUCACUUGUAUGAAGCUAGAAAAGGGAGUGGCCUUCCUGUAAUGAAGACUGCAAGACCACAUUACAGACUACACAAUGAGGUAAAAACACCAAAAACAACCGAGAGUGUCAGCUGAAGACUUACAGAAAAUCACUGGCAGAGUCUACCUUACGUAAAACGUUAAACACGAGUGUGGUUCAUGGGAGAACGCCAAAGAGGUAGCUGUUGCUGUCUAAAAAACAUUGAUCCAUGUUUUAAAUUUGCUAAAGAGCACUUGGAUGUUCCAUAGCACCAUUGGCAAAAUAUUCUUUGGAUGGAUGAAACCAAAGCGCAAUUAUUUGGGAGGAACACACAACACCAUGUGUGGAGGAAAAAUGGCACAGCACACCAACAUCAAAUCCUUAUCCCAAGUGUGAAGCAUGGUCGAUGGAGCAUCAUGGUAUGGUCGUGCUUUGCUCCCUCAGGGCCUGGACAGCUUGCUAUCAUCAAUGUAAACAUUAAUUCACAAGUUUAUCAAGAUCAUUUGCAGAAGAACUUGAGACCAUCUGUCCAACAGUUGAAGCUCAAAAGAGGAUGUAAGAAGUCCAAAAUGAAUCCUGAUUGUUGUGCACGUCUGAUCCGCUACAACAGGCAACUUUUGGUUGAGCUUAUGAAUGUUUGCAUUUUGUAUGAACAUGACAUUAAAUGAGGCUACUUUGCAAUCUUGUGAACAUUUUGUAAACUUGCAUCCCUGCCUUGAACAUGAGUUUGACAACCACAUGCCCAGUUAUAAGAGGAUGUGUGUACUUCGGCAACCACAUUAUCGCAGUUGUUUUUUUUUUUUUAUUUUAAUUCCCCGCUCUAAAAUAUUUCAUGUAUUUUUUUUCUUUUCAAUCAGAUUGUAUUUGUUGUAGGUCAAAUUAAUGUUGUUAAAGGUUUUGACAUUUAUCCUAUCCUGAAUUAUUAAACCUGGCAUUUGAACAGGGGUGUCUAGACUUUGUGCAUCCGCUAUAUAUUAUACCUUACACCUGUGGCUGGGUAAUAUGGCCUUAAAAUAAAAUCUCAGAUGAAAUGUGA